rnacentral:rRNA from 1 species
CCUANGGGGGGCAGCAAUUAGGAAUCUUGCGCAAUGGGGGAAACCCUGACGCAGCGACGCCGCGUGAGCGAUGAAGUCUUUCGGGAUGUAAAGCUCUGUCCUGUGGGGAAGAAGAAUGUGACGGUACCCGCAGAGAAAGCCCCGGCUAACUACGUGCCAGCAGCCGCGGUAAUACGUAGGGGGCGAGCGUUGUCCGAAUUUACUGGGCGUAAAGCGCGUGUAGGCGGUUCUUUAAGUCAGGUGUGAAAUCCCGUGGCUCAACCACGGAACUGCAUUUGAAACUGAAGGGCUUGAGUGUGGGAGAGGAAAGUGGAAUUCCUGGUGUAGCGGUGAAAUGCGUAGAUAUCAGGAGGAACACCCGUGGCGAAGGCGGCUUUCUGGCCCACCACUGACGCUGAGACGCGAAAGCUAGGGGAGCGAACGGGAUUAGAUACCCUANUANUC